rnacentral:rRNA from 1 species
GAUGAACGCUGGCGGCGUGCCUAAUACAUGCAAGUCGAGCGAACAGACGAGGAGCUUGCUCCUCUGAUGUUAGCGGCGGACGGGUGAGUAACACGUGGAUAACCUACCUAUAAGACUGGGAUAACUUCGGGAAACCGGAGCUAAUACCGGAUAACAUGUUGAACCGCAUGGUUCAACAGUGAAAGACGGUCUUGCUGUCACUUAUAGAUGGAUCCGCGCCGCAUUAGCUAGUUGGUAAGGUAACGGCUUACCAAGGCAACGAUGCGUAGCCGACCUGAGAGGGUGAUCGGCCACACUAGAACUGAGACACGGUCCAGACUCCUACGGGAGGCAGCAGUAGGGAAUCUUCCGCAAUGGGCGAAAGCCUGACGGAGCAACGCCGCGUGAGUGAAGAAGGUCCUCGGAUCGUAAAACUCUGUUAUUAGGGAAGAACAAAUGUGUAAGUAACUAUGCACGUCUUGACGGUACCUAAUCAGAAAGCCACGGCUAACUACGUG